AAUGAACGCUGGCGGCAGGCCUAACACAUGCAAGUCGAACGAGGUAGCAAUACCUAGUGGCGGACGGGUGAGUAACACGUGGGAACGUACCCUUUGCUACGGAAUAGCCCUGGGAAACUGGGAGUAAUACCGUAUGAGCCCGAGAGGGGAAAGAUUUAUCGGCAAAGGAUCGGCCCGCGUUGGAUUAGGUAGUUGGUGGGGUAAUGGCCUACCAAGCCGACGAUCCAUAGCUGGUUUGAGAGGAUGAUCAGCCACACUGGGACUGAGACACGGCCCAGACUCCUACGGAGGCAGCAGUGGGGAAUCUUUGACAAUGGGGGAAACCCUGAUCUAGCCAUGCCGCGUGAUCGAUGAAGGCCUUAGGGUUGUAAAGAUCUUUCAGGUGGGAAGAUAAUGACUGUACCACCAGAAGAAGCCCCGGCUAACUCCGUGCCAGCAGCCGCGGU
rnacentral:rRNA from 1 species